UACAGAGGGGGCAAGCGUUGUUCGGAAUUACUGGGCGUAAAGGGCGCGUAGGCGGCCCGCUAAGUCGAACGUGAAAUCCCCGGGCUCAACCCGGGAACUGCGUCCGAUACUGGCAGGCUUGAAUCCGGGAGAGGGAUGUGGAAUUCCAGGUGUAGCGGUGAAAUGCGUAGAUAUCGUAAGGAAGACCAGUGGCGAAGGCGGGUCUCUGGACAGUUCCUGACGCUGAGGCACGAAGGCCAGGGGAGCAAACGGG
rnacentral:rRNA from 1 species